GUCUACGGUCAUGCCACCUUGAACGUGCCUGAUUUCCUCUGAUGCUGGAAGCUUAGCAGGGUCAGGCCUGCUUAGUACUUGGAUGGGAGAAAACAUUGAUAUUUUGGUCU
ensembl:rRNA 5S_rRNA 5S ribosomal RNA